rnacentral:rRNA from 1 species
UACGAAGGGGGCUAGCGUUGUUCGGAAUCACUGGGCGUAAAGCGCGCGUAGGCGGAUGUGUAAGUCAGGGGUGAAAUCCCGGGGCCCAACCUCGGGAUUGCCUUUGAAACUACAUAUCUAGAGACUCGGAGGGGAUAGCGGAAUGCCUAAUGUAGGGGUGAAAUCCGUAGAGAUUAGGAGGAACACCGGUGGCGAAGGCGGCUAUCUGGACGAGUACUGACGCUGAGGUGCGAAAGCGUGGGGAGCAUACAGG